rnacentral:rRNA from 1 species
UACGUAGGGUGCUAGCGUUGUCCGGAUUUAUUGGGCGUAAAGAGCUCGUAGGUGGUUCGGUAAGUCGGGUGUUAAACCCCCAGGCUCAACCUGGGGACGCCACUCGAUACUGCUGUGACUUGAGUCCGGUAGGGGAGCGUGGAAUUCCUGGUGUAGCGGUGAAAUGCGCAGAUAUCAGGAGGAACACCGAUGGCGAAGGCAGCACUCUGGGCCGGCACUGACGCUGAGGAGCGAAAGCUAGGGGAGCAAACAGG